CAUAUGAAUAAGGCUUUGCGCAUGAAUUUUAUCAUUAAAAGUAAGGCUUCAUUUAUUCAACAAAUAUGUGAGCAUUUAUCAUUCUCACCCUCUCAUCAUUUAGGACAAAUUCUAGGAAGACACAUUAAAUCACCUGUUAAUAUGUGUAUCGGUUUAUCUCCCUUUCCUUCAAGGAGGAUCUCCCUGCACUGAGAGGAAGGGGGCACCUGAACAUGUACCCCACAACUCUACCCACCAAAAACAAAGUUUUCCUUAACGGGCAGGGGUUUUUAAAUAGUCUUGAAUAUCUUAAUGGUAUUAAAUCUACCCCUGAAGUUCCACGUGAUUUGCAUUUUCUGAGCAUGGCAAAAUGCUGAUUACAAUGAGCUGCUGGAAUUUUGCCCUAACAUACAGGGUGAUAAAAGGUGUUCAUUCCGGACCCAGUAGCAACAGAGGGUAGAUGAAGGGACAAGACAGUUACAUUCCAAGACAGGCUUGGAAGAGACUACUUACACCUAAGAAUAAUCCAUUAAU